rnacentral:rRNA from 1 species
GACGAACGCUGGCGGCGUGCUUAACACAUGCAAGUCGAACGAAAAGAGGGAAAGAGCUUGCUCUUUCCGGAAUUGAGUGGCAAACGGGUGAGUAACACGUAAACAACCUGCCUUCAGGAUGGGGACAACAGACGGAAACGACUGCUAAUACCGAAUAAGUUCCAAGGGCCGCAUGGCCCAUGGAAGAAAAGGUGGCCUCUACCUGUAAGCUAUCGCCUGAAGAGGGGUUUGCGUCUGAUUAGCUGGUUGGAGGGGUAACGGCCCACCAAGGCGACGAUCAGGAGCCGGUCUGAGAGGAUGAACGGCCACACUGGAACUGAGACACGGUCCAGACUCCUACGGGAGGCAGCAGUGGGGAAUCUUCCGCAAUGGGCGAAAGCCUGACGGAGCAACGCCGCGUGAGUGAUGACGGCCUUCGGGUUGUAAAACUCUGUGAUCCGGGACGAAAAGGCAGAGUGCGAAGAACAAACUGCAUUGACGGUACCGGAAAAGCAAGCCACGGCUAACUACGUG